rnacentral:rRNA from 1 species
GACGAACGCUGGCGGCGUGCUUAACACAUGCAAGUCGAACGGAAAGGCCCUGCUUUUGUGGGGUGCUCGAGUGGCGAACGGGUGAGUAACACGUGAGUAACCUGCCCUUGACUUUGGGAUAACUUCAGGAAACUGGGGCUAAUACUGGAUAGGAGCUCCUGCUGCAUGGAGGGGGUUGGAAAGUUUCGGCGGUUGGGGAUGGACUCGCGGCUUAUCAGCUUGUUGGUGGGGUAGUGGCUUACCAAGGCUUUGACGGGUAGCCGGCCUGAGAGGGUGACCGGCCACAUUGGGACUGAGAUACGGCCCAGACUCCUACGGGAGGCAGCAGUGGGGAAUAUUGCACAAUGGGCGGAAGCCUGAUGCAGCAACGCCGCGUGCGGGAUGACGGCCUUCGGGUUGUAAACCGCUUUCGCCUGUGACGAAGCGUGAGUGACGGUAAUGGGUAAAGAAGCACCGGCUAACUACGUG